GGCGGACGGGUGAGGAAUACAUCGGAAUCUACUCUGUCGUGGGGGAUAACGUAGGGAAACUUACGCUAAUACCGCAUACGACCUACGGGUGAAAGCAGGGGAUCUUCGGACCUUGCGCGAUUGAAUGAGCCGAUGUCGGAUUAGCUAGUUGGCGGGGUAAAGGCCCACCAAGGCGACGAUCCGUAGCUGGUCUGAGAGGAUGAUCAGCCACACUGGAACUGAGACACGGUCCAGACUCCUACGGGAGGCAGCAGUC
rnacentral:rRNA from 1 species